UAGGGUGUCGACUAAUGGUAGGUCAGUAGGUUUUGACCCUGCUAAUUCUGGUUCGAGUCCAGACACCCUAG
rnacentral:tRNA from 1 species